CCUAGAAACUACUAUGCAAAGCCUAAGCAAAAGUGAAUGUUAUGUGCCGAAUGCCCAUCUGCAAUGAUAAGGGGCAGACAGUCUUAGAUAGAGGAAGCUUGAAAACAAAAAACAGAAUCAGAGGUACUGGAGCAAAGAGCUCAUUAAAAUACUAAAAAUCACACCCCGAGGCGGGGAAGAUAUAUGCUAAUGGAACAUAUAUGUACGUUAAUGAGCUACAUAGCUAAAACACAGGUAUAGAGACAUGCUCAGUAAAGAACUCCUUGCGUCACUCCUUUAUAACCAAUUAGCAAACAAGGAUGCUUAUGAAGAUUCAACCUCUGGUAUAUAAGGGGCUCAGUAUUGAAUGUGCUUGUGCUUGUCUUGGGAGAUUAUUCCGCUUGCACCUUUUAUUGCUAGCAAUAAAUCAUUUUUAUACUUUCACCCCUGGUAUCUUUAUUGGCCUUUGCAUACCGGGCACGAACCCAGACUUGGGCUGGGGCCGAACAGUUUUUGGCGACCCAGAUGGGACUGCCGUAGAUAAGCUUUGCCCGGACUAACUGACGACCGGUUUAUCUGCUUCUUCUUAUCAAAAGUCGAGCGUGCCCCAGGAUUUCUUUUCCCGGUGAGACUUUUGUUUCAGGAGGAGCUGGAUCGCUGAGGCGGCAGUAGCCUAACGGUGCAACGCCAUAGAGUGAAAGUAUCAGUAACAGGCACCUGGGCGAGAGGGUAGAAAGGGCAUAAGGCCUACCGUCAGUACGUUUGCCUGGGAUUAUUUCUGUAAGUAUUCUGUCUGGCCCGAGUCCAAGACCAGUGAUUUUUCCCCUGUGAGGACAAGGACUAAAAACAGAUCCCUGGAUCCCAGGUACUUGGAGCAAAUCUAAGGAAGCCAUGUCUCCAAGAGAUGCCUGCCCUGCCCUGCUGCUGCUCCUGCUGACCCUGCCGUCAGCCUGGCCAGCCGUGGACAGCAGGGAAACACCAAACCAGAAGUUUGAGAGGCAGCACGUCGACCCGUCUACUAGCCUGCCGUAUAAUGACGCCUACUGCAAUCAGAGGAUGAAGGCUCAGAAUAUAACCUUGGACAUCUGCAAGACCCCGAACACCUUCAUCCAUGCGCCAUCAUCAUUAAUAAAUAGCAUCUGCACUGGGGCUGGGACAAAAAAACGAGAACCCAAUUAUUACUAUAGCAACAACAACUUCUUUGUCACUCUCUGCAUGUAUGUAAGCGGCUCCCCACCGAAUGGCUGUAAAUACAAGGCUAGGUCCUCUAACCAGAAGAUUUGCAUUGCCUGCACUGGCAAAUUGCCUGUGCACUUCAGCCCAGUGAGAGAUUGCUUGCCAUGAAUCCCGCACUGUCCCGCAGCUUUUGCUUGCAGCGGGUCCCCAGGGCCAAAGCCUCUCAGCCUGGCCCUUUCCCUGCUCCCUCCUAGACCAUGAAGCCAGAUCAUUCUGUGUCCCCAAAUCUUAGUGUCCCCAUUCUAGCUCUUCUGCUGCCAUCAGGGUCUGUUGUGCGCUACACCCACCCCUUCCAACUCCUGCACCCACAGGAGGGGCCAGAUCCUGGUGCAGAGCAAGUGCCCUCCUGCUGCUGAGUCCUCGGUGCUGUUACUGAGCUGAAUUUCUUGCUGCUUUCUGCAAUAAACUUUGGCAACUGCAAA